ensembl:lncRNA
AAGCAGAGUCACAACAAACCUUCCUUAUGCAUUUGGCCAACAGUUUCUUUAGGGUAUAUACCUACAAAUAGAACUGCCCAGUCUGGGGAAUGAAUAUGCUUCUUUAGCUUUACUAAUUACUACUGCCAGUCCAGUUGUUUUCUUUCUAUUUUAAAAUUAAAAAAAAUCAGAUUUUAAUGUAUUUUGAAACCGUUUUUAUUUGGAAAACUUAUAAAAAUAGUACAAGGAAUGCUCAUAAAUCAUUUACACAGAUUUUUAAAAUUUUGGCAUUUUUUUCCAGAUCUUAAUAUCUUGUCUUUAUUACUCUGUGUGUGUGUGUGUGUGUGUGCGCGUGCGCGCGCGCAUAUGUGUGUAUGUGUGUGUGCAUAUGUGUGUAUAAGGUAUUUUUUUCUCACCAGAACCAUGUGAGAGUAGGUUGCUUUGGUCAGGUCUUUUCAUCCUUUAAUAGUUGAGCACGUCUUUCUUAGGACUGUGAAUCUUCUCUUGCAUAAUCACGGGACAGUUAGUUUAACACCGAAAAUCCCUGUAUGUAAUCUACAGUCCAUAUUGUAAUUUGUCGAUUGUCCAAAUAAUGUCCUUAUAGCAUUUUUCCCCCAUCUCAGAUGACAUUGUGUUUACCUGUCACAUCUCUUUAGGCUUUUAUAAUCUGGAAGAUUCUUUAGCUUUUCUUUGUCUUUUGUGAUAUUGAUAUUUUUAAAAGGAUAUAGGAAGUUAUUAAGUGUUUCUCAUUUUGUGUUUAUCCAGUGUUUUCUCAGGAUUAGAUUCAGAUUAUGCAUUUUUAGUUAAAACUAAUGUUUUAGUGAUGGUGUAUCCUCAAGGAAUUAUUCCUUUUGUUGGCAUUUUUUUCAUCUUUUGGUUGAAGAGUCAUUCAUUUUCUCUACCAUAUUUGCUUUUUUUCCUUAUAAAAUUAAUAAGUAGUUUAUAGGGAAUCACUUUGAGAUAUUUUAAAUGUCCUGUUUAUAGUCAAACCAUUUCCCCCGAGAUUUAGCAUCUCUUGAUGGCACUUGCCUGACUCACUUCUUACCACUAUAGUUGGAAAUUGUGGCUUUCUAACUUCAUUAUUCCUUUGUUCUUUCUAUAUAUAGUGCCCUAGUUCUUUAGUAGGACUUGAAAAAAAUACUCAUGAGCAUGAAUUCAUAGUCUAAGUAUUAAAUUCAGAAUUUAUUUUGUGAAAUUUCUUUUCCUAUUAGGCAUUUGUUUUCUUGAGAAAAGAAGUUAAAUCAUAAUUCCAUUGCCCAUAUCAAUGUAGAAUGACUCUGAGAUCACUUACUUGUAUAAUUUAUACCUCAUUUAUUUCUGAAAGGACUAGAGAAAGCUUUUUAAACUGAACACAAAACAGGACAAAAAAGGUAAAAAUCAUGAUUAUUCUAGUGGUACUGUUUAAGUUGAACAUUGAGUUUAGAUCAUGGAAAUCAGCAGCUGAGGCAGAGAGACAACCAUAUUGAAUUAGAUGUGAUUUCACUGUUUCAGAAGAGAAAGCAUCCUGUAAGAGAUUAGUAAAAUACAUAUAUGCAAGGAAAAGAAGCUCAUGUAAUUUGAAUAACAUAUAAUUUAAUUUCAUGUCAUCAAGAGGGCUGAUUUUUGUGUUGAGCUAGUUCUGUUUAUUGAAAAUUUAUGCACUGGUAAAAACAACAGUUCAAACCAAUGCAGACUUAUUUAGAACUUUCAUUUAACAUUUAAGAUCCCAUUUAAGAUUCCAGAGAUUCUGGUUCAUUAGGUCUUAGGAAGGGUCUGCAUAUUGAACAUCACAGAUGAACCUAGAAUCACACUUUGAGAAAACGGUGCCUCAAACAAAGAGAUGAAAGUUAGGAUUUUAUUGUAAUUGAGUCAGUAUUGCAGAGUUGCUUGUAAAAUUCUUCUAGUAGUCUCAUAUUUAAAGUAUAAUAACUUUUACGAAUUUCCAUUAAAAAAUAAUUUGGGUUGAUAAAUAAACAGCUAAAUAGCUAAAUUGAAUCCUUAUGAUGUACAUCAGUAGUGGAUUUAGUGAGUCAGUGGUGUAGACUUUUCUACUCCAGCCUAAUACCUAUACUUCCUCAGUAUUUUCAUAACCUCCUUAAUUUUUCAUUAGUUCAUUAACUUCAUUAGUUUUAGUGGCUCACCAUAAAUAGCUUAUUAACUUGUACACAUAUUCUAAGUUAUAGAAGGGCUUGUUAAAUUCAAUUUUUAAAGAGAAUACUGGAUUUGUUUGGGGUUUUUUUAAUAUUCAUUAUUUUGUAUUAGAGGAGACAGGCCACCGAUUUCUAAGAUUUAUUACUCUUUUGCAAUAACUGGCUUUAGCCAGGGGCCCAUAUUUCAGAAUUGUUCAUAGGAAAGUAAUUUCCACGGGUGUCAUUGCUAGUUGAGUGAGUGACUUUGACAUACAUAGCUCUGGCCUACAACUGGCCAGCCUGAAAUAAUUAAUCAGAAACAACAACUAUUUCAGUAAGACUGAAUUCCAGUUUAUAAACUAGGUUAAUUGGAGAUUUUCCAACAGUAGAGACUUUCCAAUGUAGAGCACAACGGCUAUUGGGUUAAUGAAAAUAUUUAAGAUCUAAAUGAAAAUAUAAGCCUUGGACAGUUCUGUGAUUUCUCUUAAGUCUAUAUGGGAGACAUUUCCUUUGUUGCCUGAGCUUUAUUGCUUUAGUUCUCUUUAACAUUGCAAUGGAAACAUCUGAUAAAACUUCUGAGACUGUGCUGAAAGUUUACCCCUUUGUUUUAUAAAAUGUAGCAAAUAUAGCUUAUAAUAGCACUGGUACCUGCAUUCUUGAUUUGUGACUCUUUCAGAAGGAAGACAUUUAUUUUCAUAAGAAAUGUGACAUUUAUAAGGAUUGAACAGCUUAAAAGAGUGUGCACAGAAAGUGGUAGGACUUAUAAAACAGUGGUUUACCAAGCCUGGUUGAUGACUUGUACAAGACAAAUUUAGAACAGGAGCAGCGACUUAGUGCCCAGCUUGGAACAUUUGUUUAUAUUUUGGUAUUUAUUUAUAAGAUCAUGGAUACAAAGCUAAACUAUUUUCACAUAUGGAAAGGAUGACUAAAGGGAGAAAAUCCUUAUUAUUGUGCUUAUGAUUCAAAUUCCUUGUCCACCAUAGUCCUUUGAAUUUUUCUGCUUAUUAAAGUACAAAAAGGCGAUAGCAUUUCCGCAGCUCAUUAUUUUGAGAAGGAAAGUGAAUAAAAUGAAAACUACUAUUGAUUCUCAGCCCUGCCCCAAGAGAAAUACUGAAGACCCUCAAUUCAUAGUAGAGAUAUAAACAUUUCAAAAUACAUUUAAUUUUUUUAAAUUUAUUUUUUAUUGUUAUUUCCCCCAAUACACUUUUUUUUCCCCCCCCACUGUACAGCAUGGAGACCCAGUCACACAUAUAUAGCUAGAUGGCUAUUUUCAUCUUCAUGAUUUUGAGGUUUCCUGAAGUUACUGUAAUUUGCUUCUAAUCAGAUAUAACUUGUUUUGUUUUCUUUAAAUGGAAACAGUAAAGGAAGUAGAUAAUGUUAGUAGAACUUUGAUUCCAAUCAGUGGACAUUGGCUGGUUUUCUACUCAGUCUCCAUUUCACUUGCUUCUGUCCCUACACCUGCCUCUGUCCUUCAUGCAACUCCUCUGCUCUCCUGGAUGCUUCCAGAGAAGCCAAGUCCUAUCCCAGCUCCAGGAGUGGGUUGAUGUGUCUAAAGUGAACCCCAUCUUUCAUACUUCUAACAGUUUCAUAUGAAAAGGUUCAGGUGAACACUUGAGCUGACCGAUGUUAAAGAGCAGCACUGCUGGUGACUUUUUGGAAAGUCCUCACUGGGAGAGCUUCCAAAACUGAUUCUCUUUCUCUGCUGCUGGGCUACUGCCUGCAUCUUAAUACCAAAGGGAGAAGUAGCUUUAUGCUAAGGAUUCAUUGUGGAUCAAAGAGCAGAGACAAACCUUCCCACCCAGGAAUAUCACAACUCCACUGUGUGUGUAUAUGUGAGUGUGCUUGUGAAUGUGUGUGUGUGAGAAUGAGAGAGAUGGAUAACAGUAAAUGAGGAAUAUCCUACAUAAGAAUAAACAUCUGCUUCUUUUUUCCCUCCCAGAAAUUUACAAAAGGCAACAUUAAAAUGUGCCAUUUGGGGCUUUCCUUUAAAGGUUUGCAUGAAUCAAAUCAUCUGCAUGCCUUUGAUAAAAUGUCCUUUUUUCUGUUCCCCUCCCCCUCAGAGACACUUAUUUUUCUCACUGAAAAAUUUCAGAAUGCUCAUAUGGUUGGCUGAGUAUAAAGUCAUAAAGCCAAGCCUUCUGAACCUGAAAGGCUUAUUGCCUAAAAUGAUGUUCUUUUGAUUAUAUAGUUAGUUUUCUGAUGUUUGCAUUUUAUGGUGCCUCAUAUGGUGGAACUGGACUUCUCAUCUUUUGCCCAAAAGUUAUUUGAUCAGAGAAACCGUUUACUUGCAAAUUCUAAUUUAUUAGAAAUUAUAUCCUUAAAAUUAAAUUUCAAUGGAAAUUUAAAAUGCAAGCUACACUUUGAGUCACUCCUUUUUUCUUAGGGAAUAAAUAAAUACAGAUAGAAAUAGUCCUUCCCAUGUUUUUCUGCUCUUCUGUCUUCAUAGGCAACAUUUGAAAACAAUGCUCUUAAAAAGAGAAUACCUCAGAGGUCCGCCUGGGACCUCAUAUAAGUAAAGUGAGAUGACAAAACUGGUGACGUGUGACUCCACACUCCAGUGACAGAGAAGAUAAUUAUAUUGAGGUCUUCAGAGUGAUUUAGAGGUGACCUGGAAUUUUCCAAGAGAGAAUGAAGUUAUAUUUGUGAAAAAGAGAGACACCCGGGGGGAGGGCAUGUUAUUUUAGCCACAUAUUCUUAUGUAUAUCCUACAUAACUUAAAAAAGUAUGACUUUCAAGAGGACAAUAAAAAAGAAAUUAUAGUAAUCAAGAUGGGAAAUUAUUAAGGGUUUGGGAAAAAAUUUUCAGCUGAGAAGCAAUGUGAAGAUUAAGUAUAAAUUCUAACAGUCUGGUUGACAAGUUGAUGAGCACAUUUACAGAUGAGAACUGUACAAGGAACAAAAGGAUGACUCAACAGUUUUGUGUAAGAGCCAACAUUAGGUUAGGUUUGUAUUAGAAAGAAUCAAAGUGGAAUUUGAGCAGAGAAGUGUCUGAAAGAAGGAGAAAAGCAGUGUUUUGCCAGAGUUUCCUUCUGAGGCUUCCCUGCAGAUGGACACGCUUUUCUUUCAUGGUUGCGUGUUUGUGGGGUGGCCAGGGGCUUUCUGUAUCUGACUUUUCUUUUACUGUUGAAAGAAAUAACCAGAGAAAUCAGAUAAGAGAGAUAUCAUUUCUGAAGUUAAUCUAAAUAGAUACCUUUUUUAUUUGGCCUGUUGUGGGUCAUAAAUUUGAUCGGAUGAUAUAAAGACAGCUCUCUUCAAACAGAGACGAUCACCAUUAACUUCUGUCUGGGAGAAGCGGGUGGCACUCCUUGCUGGGCCAGGGCUGGAGAAGCACUGGAUCUGUGGUCUGGACAGGCAGCUUCAGGUCUAAGCCUGUUAUUCAGCAGCUCUUCGAGUCUGAGUGAGACCCUUAAUGACUUUAGGCAGAAAGCUAGAUGGUCGGAAAUAUGGAUGAGGGGCUCUCCACUGAUUGGCGUGGCUCUUCUAGGUGAUCUGGAAGGUAUCUAUGGGGCUGAGGAAAUAGUACUCCUGUUUUUUCCUGUUACAGUGUCUCUGCGUGGAGCCACCCACAGGCUCUUUUAUCCACCAUUAAACUAUGAAGAGUGGUGGGGACUUGACAAACUCAGCUGAGUGCCCAAUUAAAGCGUGUAGUUUUCACUCAGCUCCAAGUGAUUGUUGACGUGGGAAUGAAGGCUUAGUUUUGCCGGAAUUUUCAGAACUUGCAGUUUUUGUUUUGUUUUGAUUUUUAGGAGCUGCCUGAAAUAAGGAUUUUUUUUUUCCAUGAAGUCCCCCCACCUCUCCACCCUCAAAAAACAGCUGUGCCACACUGAUGUGGGUCAAACGAAACAAGUCUUUGAGCCAGAUCUGUCCUGUGACUACAGUUUAGGUCUUUUGCUUUAAUCUGUUUUUCUUAGAUGUUUAUUGAGAUCUUGGUAAGUUUCAUAGCAAUGUACUUGCCUCUCUUUAACUACCGAACAAUAUCCAAGACAGUCCUGAUAUCCUGAGUUUUCUUUAGGUGACAUUUAAACCUGUACAUAAAUUUGAUUAAAAAAUACUUUGUUGGGUUAAAGAUAAGACUCCUAACAGUAUAUAUGUUACUGACACAUGGGAAGAACUAUAAACAAAAGAAUGAUUGAUUUCAUUUCUUUAAUUCUGUUGAGUUACUACCAUAAACUUCAUCAUCUGUGUUUCUUACAGAAUUUUCUAAAUGAGCAAGAAAAGAUAUUUUGGAAGGUUCUGUGGACAUUCAAAGGUGAAAGGUGGUAAAUCUUUAUUUAAAAAAGUCUCUUCAAAAUAAAACCAUUGUCUCCAUAUUAAAUUAAUUUGUAAAAAUAUGUUUUCUAAGGCUUACCAAAGCUAACUACUAAUGAUAUGUUUUAUGCUGGAAAAAUAUGGCUACUUGCAACUCUUCAUUGUUUGUAUGAGUGAAAUCCUUCUAUUUUUUUCCCUCUAUUCUUUGGCCACGGAAAUUAAGACUAAGAACUUAAUUCUGCAAAUUAAGAAUAAUAACUUGGGAGUUCCCGUCGUGGCGCAGUGGUUAACGAAUCUGACUAGGAACCAUGAGGUUGCGGGUUCCAUCCCUGCCCUUGCUCAGUGGGUUAACGAUCUGGCGUUGCCGUGAGCUGUGGUGUAGGUCGCAGACNAAGAGUAAUAACUUAAUUCUGGUCACUUGCUAAUUUUUUUGGUUUGGGAAAAAACUCUAGAAAUAGAUGAAGUGCCCAUAGUUUGAAUCAAAUGACCCUUAGAGGUUGUUGGCUUGGGUAUGGGCCCCUGUUCCAAAUCAAGCUAUAGGUCACUGGUCCUGUGACACAACCUGAUUGAAAGUUGAUUAGACAGAUGUAGAGAAAGAGUUAACCUCUGAGAGAAUGCCAUGGAGUAGGAGAUGGCCAUGAAGGAUUAUGGAAAGCACAGAAUUUAUAAUGAAACCAACUAUGGGUGCGGGUGAAGACAUUACAAGAGAAAGAGGAAAAUAUGUAGAAUGUGAAGAGUAGGAGUGUUCUGGAAGAAUCCAGGACAAAAUACAGUUUCUACUCCAGGGAGCAGGCACAUGAGGACCAGCUGGACAGUAGUAUUAAUGCAGAAAAGCAGAAUCAAUGCCUGGGAGCACUAUGGGUUGGAACCUCGAAACUUCCCUACCUCCUUUCAUCGCCUGAUCUAUUCCUCACCUUUUUUCAAAGCUCCUGGUUCUUCUAUCGCAGAAAUUCCUCUUGUCGCUAGACAUUUGCUCACACUGGUCCUUCUUCUUCAAUUAAUCCCUGUUUCCCAUUCCCCUCUCCCCUUCACCGUCCCCCCACUCCCUUUGUGGCCAGCUCUUACUCAUUCAGCAAGUCUCACUCAAGAUUUCUUUUUUUCUGGGGUUCCCGUCGUGGUGCAGUGGGAACGAGUCCCACUGGGAACCAUGAGGAUGUGGGUUUCAUCCCUGACUCGCUCAGUGGGCUAAGGAUUUGGCGUUCCCGUGAAAUGUGGUGUAGGCUACAGAUGCGGCUCAGAUGCUGUGUUGCUGUGGUUGUGAGGUCGGCCAGCAGCUGUAGCUCCGAUUUGACCCCUAGCCUGGGAACCUCCAUAUGCCACAAGUGCGGCCCUAAAA